rnacentral:rRNA from 1 species
GCAGUUAAAAAGCUCGUAGUCGAAAUAGGCCUUCAUUCCAUCCGGGCCCUGAUAAAGGCAUCAAUCCGGGUGGGUGGAUGGCUCCUUAAAGGCUUUCCUUCGCGUCGGGCUUAACUGCGCCGUGCUUUGGAUUGUCGCCAUUACUGUGAAAAAAUUAGAGUGUUCAAGGCAAGCUCACGGGCUUGAAUAGAUUAGCAUAGGAUAAUAGAUUGGUCAAAAAUUUACGUUAGUAGGUUUAAAAUCUUGACAACCGUUAAUAGGGACUAUCAGGGGCGCUCAUAUUUCAUUGUCAGAGGUGAAAUUCUUGGAUUUAUGAAAGAUGAACUAAUGCGAAAGCAUCCGCCAUGGGUACUCUCAUUGAUCAAGAACGAAAGUUAAGGGAUCGAAGACGAUCAGAUACCGUCGUAGUCUUAACUAUAAACGAUACCGGCCAACACUCGAAUGACGUUAAAUGGAUGACUCCUCCGGAAGUUUGUGAGAAAUCAUAAGUCUUCGGGUUCUGGGGGGAGUAUGGUCGCAAGGCUGAAACUUAAAGGAAUUGACGGAAGGGCACACCAGAAGUGGAGCCUGCGGCUUAAUUCGACUCAACA